rnacentral:tRNA from 2 species
CCCUGGCUAGCUCAGUCGGUAGAGCGUGAGACUCUUAAUCUCAGGGUCAUGGGUUCAAGCCCCAUGUUGGGCA